rnacentral:rRNA from 1 species
AAUGAACGCUGGCGGCAGGCCUAACACAUGCAAGUCGAACGGAUCCUUCGGGAUUAGUGGCGGACGGGUGAGUAACGCGUGGGAACAUACCCAAAGGUACGGAAUAGCCUCGGGAAACUGGGAGUAAUACCGUAUGUGCUCGAAAGAGGAAAGAUUUAUCGCCAGAGGAUGAGCCCGCGUAGGAUUAGCUAGUUGGUGUGGUAAAGGCGCACCAAGGCGACGAUCCUUAGCUGGUCUGAGAGGAUGAUCAGCCACACUGGGACUGAGACACGGCCCAGACUCCUACGGGAGGCAGCAGUGGGGAAUAUUGGACAAUGGGCGAAAGCCUGAUCCAGCAAUGCCGCGUGAGUGAUGAAGGCCCUAGGGUUGUAAAGCUCUUUUACCCGGGAUGAUAAUGACAGUACCGGGAGAAUAAGCCCCGGCUAACUCCGUGCCAGCCGCCGCAGUAA